GGGCGGCGGCGGCUGGGCGGGAGCCCCAGAGGUACUGGCGGGAGCAGGGGACGGGAGGCACUACUGUCGGGCCCGACAGGGGAGAGGUGGCCUAGCCGUGGGCCCGGGUGAUGUGUAUGGGAGUGGGGUCCUCGCCACGUUCGCCGCCAGCACCCUCCCAACUUCCCUCCGGGCUCCAGCUCAGUCCCGAGUCAAUAUGUCCAGCCCCCUGUCUCUGACCAGCCGUUCCUACUCUCUCUGUGUGACGGCUUAGCCUGGCCAGCCAGCCGGGCAGGAACUGCUGCCACAACCUCAGGCUGGGCACCAAACACCCGUGCCCGCCAAUGCGGCCCAGCCCCCGGAGAGUCAGGCCCACAGAGCAUGCCCAUGUGGGCCGGCG
rnacentral:lncRNA from 1 species